rnacentral:misc_RNA from 1 species
GUGAAUCAUCGAAUCUUUGAACGCAAAUUGCACUCUCUGGUAUUCCGGAGAGUAUGCCUGUUUGAGGGUCAGUAAAAAUAAAAAUCGGUGUGGUUGAUGACUUUCGUGGUGAUGGAGCGGGUUUGGGUCGUGUUGGUUUUGGUUAAGUGACCGAAAACUUUGGAUGCUCUUUUUUGAACGACUUUAAAUGAUUUUGUGU